rnacentral:tRNA from 1 species
GUUUUAAUAGUUUAACUCAAAACUUUGGUCUUGUAAUUCAAAAAUGAAAAAAUUUCUUAAAACU